AGUAGGCAGGAGGGGUUGCCUGGUGAAGAGCAGGCAGGGAGGAGGCUCACAGGGGAGAGACGUUGACCUUCUAGCUCUAGGCUGAGUUUUAGGUUUAGUGUCAGCACUUGGGGCUCCAGCUAGCUCCAGCUGGGAUUCUAAGGGGCAAGUGCAGACAAUGCAGAAGAGCCAAGAAGCCGAGUCCGGCACCUUGAUCUCUCUGAGCCUCCUGUUGGGGGAGGACCCAGAACACCUGUCCCAGCAACUGCGGGCUACCAGUCUACGGGACAGGGAGCCACUUGGCUCUCCCGGCCUCUCCAAGGAAGAGCACCUCGCCAGUGCCACCACCACCCCUCAAGGCUGCAGCUGGUGUCUGGGCUCCAGAGACCCCUUUCCGGGAAGUGAGACACAAGAUGGCUGCCACAAAGUCACAGCCAGAGAUGGAUGCCUUUCUCUCUUGGCAGGGCCAGACCUAAUCUCUGGGUUUCCACCCUCACCAGUCUGCUGCUGCUGCUUGCGAGGGCACCAUGCUCAUGAGGCCUCAGGAUUUGUACCAUACUACAGGAGCCCCGAAGAGAGGCUACGGGCCAGCCCUGUGGUUUCCUCCUCUGUGCUGGGGAGUUCAUGGGAGUGACCCCCCCAACCUGGUGCUGCCAGCCUGGGAAGGCGCAGGAGUGAAGGCAGUGGGGACUUCUGGGGAGUCAUACUCCAGUGCCUCCUGAUCAUCGAGGGACAAGGGGAACUGGAACAGAGGCCCCCCACAGCUCAGGCCACCUGCCCUGGGACCCCAGCUGGCCUAAUCUCCCAGCUUGUUCCCACUUGUGUCCAUCAACUGAGGAGAAAGUCGGAGAGGAGUCAGGCAGUCCUUGGCCCUCAGAACCUGGUACAGAAGAAAACACAGGAGCUCCAGCACCGUGCACUGGCGUUUUGGGUGUGACGCAGUUGGCAUGCUAAUUCUGUUUUAUCGAUGAUAAAGAAGCUGAGGCAGAGAAACCCGGGCAUUUAUGCAGCGGGGUGGGGAUUGUGGGCCUUCAGGAAAGUCACUUCCCUUCUUGAGUCCUGGCCUGAAGGAGCAUUUGGGGCUUGGAGUGGAGCCGCCCACGAGUCUCACAAUCAUCACCACUGAGUGACAUUAGCGAAUUUAUUUGACCUCCCGCCUGAAAGCCUGGUGUAGCCUGGCAGAGCUGACUGCCCACCCGCAAGAUGGGAGCCUGGUUACUUACAAGCUGCAAGUGAUCCUGAAGUAAGGUUUGUUGUUUGUUUUUGUUUUUUGUUUUUCCUCCAGUCUACAACUCCCAAGAAGACUCUCAGUGGCUCCUCUGGCACUCUCAGAGAGUCCUCCCUGGCCCCCGCAGCCUCGCUGGCAUCCUCAGACUUCUUGCUGGACCUUUUUAAUGCAGACCCCAGCUCCUUACCAGCCCGUGGCAGGAAACCCCUCCAUUCUGGCAACCUCGCUGUCCUGGAGGCCCCGAGUGCUGUGCAGCAGCGCCCCCUCCUGGCGCAUCUUGUCAGGACAGCUGGCUUCCCUGAGAUCUACAGUUUGAUUGUUCAGACACUGCCUAAGAAGGCACCACACCUACCUUACUUAUAAAGAGCGACACCACCAGCCACCAGCUGCAGCAGCCUCUCAACCCUGGUGCAGCGACCUGGCAGCCAGAGUCCUCAAACGGCCAAUCCACCCUCACUCCCCAGCCACAUGCUAUCACGCAGCUCCCGAAGUCUCACCGGGUGGACGACAGACUGAAAAUCAUCUGAGCAUUCUCUGGGCAGAGCCCAGGGAACUGUCUUUGCGGAAGGAACCCUGUUCCCAAUGACAAGCUCACAGAGCAAACCUGAAGUCAGUGUGGCCCUUUUCUCCCUCCAGUUACCUCCCACAGCCUGCACAAGAACAAUACAGGCCCAAAGCACAUGUGGGGCCUGUCACAGGCAUCAGUCAAAUGUCUUUCUGUUGGUGGGGGAAGGGGUCUAGUGAUCAGCACAAAAGCCUGGAGGCUGAAAAGAAGCCAGGAUUCUGUGGGACUCUGGGAAAGGCGCCUGGGGACCUCCUUAGCUCUGCCAUGAUUAGGACUCCCUCUGACAUAAAGUGGCUGGCCCUUUA
rnacentral:lncRNA from 1 species